GUCUGUCAAGUCGGAUGUGAAAUCCCCGGGCUCAACCUGGGAACUGCAUUCGAAACUGGCAGGCUUGAGUCUUGUAGAGGGGGGUAGAAUUCCAGGUGUAGCGGUGAAAUGCGUAGAGAUCUGGAGGAAUACCGGUGGCGAAGGCGGCCCCCUGGACAAAGACUGACGCUCAGGUGCGAAAGCGUGGGGAGCAAACAGGAUUAGAUACCCUGGUAGUCCACGCCGUAAACGAUGUCUACUUGGAGGUUGUGCCCUUGAGGCGUGGCUUCCGGAGCUAACGCGUUAAGUAGACCGCCUGGGGAGUACGGCCGCAAGGUUAAAACUCAAAUGAAUUGACGGGGGCCCGCACAAGCGGUGGAGCAUGUGGUUUAAUUCGAUGCAACGCGAAGAACCUUAC
rnacentral:rRNA from 1 species